rnacentral:rRNA from 1 species
GUGAGUAACACGUGGGUAACCUGCCCAUAAGACUGGGAUAACUCCGGGAAACCGGGGCUAAUACCGGAUAACAUUUUGAACCGCAUGGUUCGAAAUUGAAAGGCGGCUUCGGCUGUCACUUAUGGAUGGACCCGCGUCGCAUUAGCUAGUUGGUGAGGUAACGGCUCACCAAGGCAACGAUGCGUAGCCGACCUGAGAGGGUGAUCGGCCACACUGGGACUGAGACACGGCCCAGACUCCUACGGGAGGCAGCAGUAGGGAAUCUUCCGCAAUGGACGAAAGUCUGACGGAGCAACGCCGCGUGAGUGAUGAAGGCUUUCGGGUCGUAAAACUCUGUUGUUAGGGAAGAACAAGUGCUAGUUGAAUAAGCUGGCACCUUGACGGUACCUAACCAGAAAGCCGGGGCUAACUACGUGCCAGCAGCCGCGGUAAUACGUAGGUGGC